GAGUAACGCGUAUACAAUCUACCUUUUACAGGGGGAUAGCCUUUAGAAAUGAAGAUUAAUAUCCCAUAGUAUGUUAACUUGGCAUCAAGAUGACAUUAAAGUUUCGGCGGUAAAAGAUGAGUAUGCGUUCUAUUAGUUAGUUGGUAAGGUAACGGCUUACCAAGACCGCGAUAGAUAGGGGCCCUGAGAGGGGGAUCCCCCACACUGGUACUGAGACACGGACCAGACUCCUACGGGAGGCAGCAGUGAGGAAUAUUGGACAAUGGGCGCGAGCCUGAUCCAGCCAUGCCGCGUGCAGGAAGACUGCCCUAUGGGUUGUAAACUGCUUUUAUACAGGAAGAAACCUUUUCACGUGUGAAAAGCUGACGGUACUGUAAGAAUAAGGAUCGGCUAACUCCGUGCCAGCAGCCGCGGUAAUACGGAGGAUCCAAGCGUUAUCCGGAAUCAUUGGGUUUAAAGGGUCCGUAGGUGGAUAAUUAAGUCAGGGGUGAAAGUUUGCAGCUCAACUGUAAAAUUGCCUUUGAUACUGGUUAUCUUGAAUUAUUGUGAAGUGGUUAGAAUAUGUAGUGUAGCGGUGAAAUGCAUAGAUAUUACAUAGAAUACCAAUUGCGAAGGCAGAUCACUAACAAUAUAUUGACACUGAUGGACGAAAGCGUGGGGAGCGAACAGGAUUAGAUACCCUGGUAGUCCACGCCGUAAACGAUGGAUACUAGCUGUUCGGUUUUCGGACUGAGUGGCUAAGCGAAAG
rnacentral:rRNA from 1 species